GUUUGAUCCUGGCUCAGGAUGAACGCUGGCGGUCUGCUUAACACAUGCAAGUCGAACGGGAUCCUUCGGGAUUUAGUGGCGGACGGGUGAGUAACGCGUGAGAAUCUGCCCUUAGGUUGGGGACAACAGUUGGAAACGACUGCUAAUACCCAAUGUGCCGAGAGGUGAAAGGUUAACUGCCUGGGGAUGAGCUCGCGUCUGAUUAGCUAGUUGGAGUGGUAACGGCACACCAAGGCGACGAUCAGUAGCUGGUCUGAGAGGAUGAUCAGCCACACUGGGACUGAGACACGGCUCAGACUCCUACGGGAGGCAGCAGUGGGGAAUUUUCCGCAAUGGGCGAAAGCCUGACGGAGCAAGACCGCGUGAGGGAGGAAGGCCUAUUGGUUGUAAACCUCUUUUGAUAGGGAAGAACACAAUGACGGUACCUAUCGAAUCAGCAUCGGCUAACUCCGUGCCAGCAGCCGCGGUAAUACGGAGGAUGCAAGCGUUAUCCGGAUUUAUUGGGCGUAAAGCGUCCGUAGGUGGCAAACCAAGUCAGUUGUUAAAGCGUAGAGCUUAACUCUAUAAGGGCAAUUGAAACUGGUUAGCUAGAGUGCGAUAGGGGCAAGGGGAAUUCCCAGUGUAGCGGUGAAAUGCGUAGAUAUUGGGAAGAACAUCGGUGGCGAAGGCGCCUUGCUGGGUCUGCACUGACACUGAGGGACGAAAGCUAGGGGAGCGAAAGGGAUUAGAUACCCCUGUAGUCCUAGCCGUAAACGAUGG
rnacentral:rRNA from 1 species